UAGGAUGCGAGCGUUAUCCGGAUUUACUGGGUGUAAAGGGAGCGCAGGCGGGACUGCAAGUUGGAUGUGAAAUACCGCAGCUUAACUGCGGAGCUGCAUCCAAAACUGUAGUUCUUGAGUGGAGUAGAGGCAAGCGGAAUUCCGAGUGUAGCGGUGAAAUGCGUAGAUAUUCGGAGGAACACCAGUGGCGAAGGCGGCUUGCUGGGCUCUAACUGACGCUGAGGCUCGAAAGUGUGGGGAGCAAAC
rnacentral:rRNA from 1 species